GAUGCGCUGGACACUUGAAGUAAGAGCCCUUUGAAGCUGACGUGCUGCAGGAUAAAACACACUCUUUCUCUGGAAAAGAGAAAGCCAAGAUACUGUGGGGGCACAAGGAACAAUGGAGCCAAUGAAACGGAGGUCAGAGCUGAAGGUUUCUGCUAGAAGCAAGCUAUAUACAGAGUCUCCAGUCUUACUGCAUCAGCAAAGAAUUUGCCUUUGAAGACCAGGAAAACAACAACAUGGAAAUGAAGCCCAGUGCCUGCACCAGACUGGAUCCUUGAUUGUUUUUCACAAGUUCUUUACUACAUGCCUGCAA
rnacentral:lncRNA from 1 species